rnacentral:rRNA from 1 species
UACAGAGGUCUCAAGCGUUGUUCGGAUCCAUUGGGCGUAAAGGGUGCGUAGGUGGCGGGGUAAGUCAGGUGUGAAAUUUCGGAGCUUAACUCCGAAACUGCAUUUGAUACUGCCUUGCUUGAGGACUGGAGAGGAGACUGGAAUUCACGGUGUAGCAGUGAAAUGCGUAGAGAUCGUGAGGAAGACCAGUGGCGAAGGCGGGUCUCUGGACAGUUCCUGACACUGAGGCACGAAGGCCAGGGGAGCAAACGGG